rnacentral:rRNA from 1 species
AUUGAACGCUGGCGGCGUGCUUUACACAUGCAAGUCGAACGGUAACAGGCCGCAAGGUGCUGACGAGUGGCGAACGGGUGAGUAAUGCAUCGGAACGUGCCCAGUCGUGGGGGAUAACGCAGCGAAAGCUGCGCUAAUACCGCAUACGAUCUAUGGAUGAAAGCGGGGGACCGUAAGGCCUCGCGCGAUUGGAGCGGCCGAUGCCAGAUUAGGUAGUUGGUGGGGUAAAGGCUCACCAAGCCAACGAUCUGUAGCUGGUCUGAGAGGACGACCAGCCACACUGGGACUGAGACACGGCCCAGACGCCUACGGGAGGCAGCAGUGGGGAAUUUUGGACAAUGGGCGCAAGCCUGAUCCAGCAAUGCCGCGUGCAGGAAGAAGGCCUUCGGGUUGUAAACUGCUUUUGUACGGAACGAAAAGGCUCUGGUUAAUACCUGGGGCUCAUGACGGUACCGUAAGAAUAAGCACCGGCUAACUACGUGCCAGCCGCCGCAGUAAAAC